rnacentral:rRNA from 1 species
UACGGAGGGUGCAAACGUUGCUCGGAAUCAUUGGGCGUAAAGCGCACGUAGGCGGCUCGAUAAGUCGGAUGUGAAAGCCCUGGGCUCAACCCAGGAAGUGCAUUCGAUACUGCCGAGCUUGAAUAUGGAAGAGGGUCGCGGAAUUCCCGGUGUAGAGGUGAAAUUCGUAGAUAUCGGGAGGAACACCAGUGGCGAAGGCGGCGACCUGGGCCAAUAUUGACGCUGAGGUGCGAAAGCGUGGGGAGCAAACAGG